GGAACAGUUCAUCAAGCCCUCCAGGUUUGCCACUAUGAUGCUCCACCUCCGAGGACCCAGGAAGGGGCUGCACAAGAAGGAGGACAAAAUUCUGCAGGAGAUAGUGGUGCUGCAGGAGGCUGCCCAAAAUAUGAAAUCCAACCUCAGCAGCAAUUCGAGAG